UUCUGUCAAUCAGCCGAGAGAGGGAAAGGUGGGGGUGGGAACUGAUGCUCUGGAGAAUGAAUUUGGGCUGGACUUCGGAGGUGGAGCUGGGGGUAGGGUCAAGGGGCGGGAGCUCUCAAGAACGGGCCAAUGUGGAAGGAGAUAGGGGGAAUGGCUCCGCCUUGUUACCGCCUCCCCUCCCUCUCUAGAGUCAGGCUUCCUGGUGAGCAGUGUCUUUCACCGUUAUUAGCCUUGUUGGUGAAAGGUGCGAUGUCGGAGUAGACAACUGUCAACAAUUGUGCUUUUCUCCUGAGGGAUAACUGGAGGGAAAUGGAAUCACCACCCUAGAGGGACAACUUAUCUUAUCUUGGCAAAGAAGAAGGGAAAAGAAAUGCAAGAGGGACAAGUUGAGGAAAUUGAAGUCAGGAGGAUUAGGCUAUUUCCUCAAGAUCAUAUAUGUAAGUAAGUAACAGAGCCAAGUUUUGAACCCCAAAUCUCUGAACAUUGAAGGAACAUUCUUUCGACUGCUUUAGUCACAAAUAAAGAAAUAUGUUUAGAAGAAUUGCCCUUGUUUAACCUAUAUCAGAUUGCUUGCUGUUUUGGGGAAGAGGGAAGGGAGAAGAGGAAGAAAAAUUUGGAACACAAGGUUUGCAAGUAUGAAUGUUGAAAACUAUUUUUGCAUAUAUUUGGAAAAAUUAAAUACUAUUAAAAGAAAAAGAUCAUAUCCUCUAGCUUCCAUAUAGAACAAUGGAAACAUUAAUAUUUCACAUUAAUUUGUUUGCUCCUUUUAUUCUGUGGUUAGCUUCUUUGUUCAAGUAAUAUUUAUUUAGUAUCUGCUAGGUUUUCUUGGUAAUGUAAUCAAAAGACUAUAACUGAAUGUCCACAUGAGAAACAGAGUUUUUAAAAAUAAAAAAUUUUUAAAACAAGAGAGAGAAACAUCAUAAAAAGUAGCUCAGCCAUUUAAGAUCUUUGUUUUAAAAAAAAUUCAAAAAAGUCUAUCAAGCAGAACUGUACUUUGGUAUAGACAAAGUAGACUAAGGAAUAAUAUGAGGGGAAAGAGUGGUGAAAGGUAUUUUGGGGUGUAAUCAGAAAUAUUCUCUGCUGGACAGGACUUUUCACAUAGUGUAGAUCUUGGACUGUGGCCUCUUUCAGUGGUUACCAGGUUUGACAUGUGGGGAAGAAGGAUUCCUUUGAUUACUUCCAUUACACAUGCACUAUCAGUGCCAGAAAUUGCUGCUUCCUAUUAUUAUAUGUUGACAUAUUUUGUGAUGAUAAAGUAGAAAGGAGCCUGGGUUUGGGUCAGAGAAAUUUUAUUUGAAUUCUGAUUUUGCCCCUUACUUUUGUCUAGUUACUUCAACCUUCAGAUUUCACUUUUCUCAUCUAUAAAAUGAAGGGGUUAAGCCCAAAUCCAUCUCUAAAUCUAUGGUUCCUUGACUAAAAUUGAUUACAUAUGUUAAGAUAAAGUCAUAGAAGUAACAAAGCAUAAUAAGAUCACAGAUUACCAAGUGGAAGAAACCUUGGAUACCAUCUAACCGAACCCUUUUUACAGAUGAGGAAAUCAAGGCAUAAAGGGGAUGGAUUUGCCCACAGUCACACAGAUAUUAAAUAGCAGAGUCAGAUAUUCAAACUUUCCCAAUCCUUUCCAUUACAUAACCUAUAAUUCUAUCCAUAAUUUUCUAACCUUGCUUGGCUCGGAGUACAUCAGAAUUUUUUCAAUUCUCUAUUUUCCAUUGACAAAAUGGCUUUUUUAUGAGUUCAAGAUGUUUUUAGAGCAGCAACCUGGAAAGCACAGUUCUUAACCUUCUGAUUUGGACAAUGAAUUACUCUCUUUCUGGAUGGCAGAACUGGUUUUUCCACAGACUGUGCCCCUGUACAAUGAAUCUCUUCCAAUUUCAAUUCUCACAAUAUAGCUCAAAACUAGACUGGUUUUCAUUCAUCUGACUCUUCCCAUCGAUAAAUCUGUA